ensembl:lncRNA
GUAGGCUGCAGUCCAUGGGGUUGCUAAGAGUCAGACACAACUGAGCGACUUCACUUUCACUUUUCACUUCCAUGCAUUGGAGAAGGAAAUGGUAACCCACUCCAGUGUUCUUGCCUGGAGAAUCCCAGGGAUGGGGGAGCCUGUUGGGCUGCCGUCUCUGGGGUCGCACAGAGUCAGACACGACUGAAGCGACUUAGCAGCAGCAGCAGCAAGAAAGCUUCAUUCAUAACCGUCAAUAAUGAAAGGGCAGAAGGAGGAACUGACAAGGACUAAGUACAGCACUGGAGGGCCCUGCUGUUCUAGGCUGUUGAUGGAGUUGGAUACCAAAACCCUACUCUCAUUUUGCUACCAAAAGGAAUUAUGUUGUGUCCUCACCUUUAAAUGCACUGUUCUGGAAGUUCUGCAGCAGGAAUGCCUUGGUUUAGAUGUUGACAGGAGCCCAGCGAUUUACUUCACAUCCAUUUGGGUACUUUUCGAGGCAGAUAGGUGCAGAGCCAAAAAACACCACCUAGGGACUUCCCUGGUGCUUCAGCGGUUGCUGAAGCUUAAGCUCGAAUAAUUUAGCCACCUGCUGUGAAGAGUGGACUCACUGGAAAAGACUCUGAGGCUAGGAAAGAUUGAGGGCAAAAGGAGAAGAGAGCGGCAAAGUGUGAGAUGGUUAGAUAGCAACACCAACUCAGUGGACAUGAACUUGAGCAAACUCCAGGGCACAGUGGAGGACAGAGAAGCCUGGUGUGCUGCAGUCCAUGGGUCGCAAAGAGUCGGACACGACUGAGCGACUAUAAACAACAACAACCAGUGGUUAAGACUCCGCCUUGCAAUGCAGAGGACUUUGGUUCAAUCCCUGGUCUGGGAACUAAGAUUCCACACGCUACAGAGUAACUAAACCAACACGCCACACUACUAAGCCCUGAAGCCACAGAGAGUCCAUGCACCACAGUGGAAGAUCCUGCAUGAUGCGACAAAGAGCCCGCGUGCCACAACGAAGACGGGAUGCAACUGAAUACUUUUUUUCUUUUUUUUCUUAAUUAAUUUCUUUUUUAACUGAAGGAUAAUUGUUUUACAGACUUUUGUUGUUUUCUGUCAAACAUCAAAAUGAAUCGGCCAUAGGCAUACAUAUGUCC